UUACAGCUUUAAAUGUAAGAGUUGCAUUUUUGACACCAUCUGUACAUCUGUGAUUGUACUUGACUUGUGACCUUGAACAUUGUCCUCAGUUGUGUAUGUAUAUAAGGAUUUUUUUGCUGUUUUUUUAUGUUAAAAUGAGGCAGGGGCCUUAAAUCAAUGUCUUGGACAGUAAACGGUACAGGUUUGUUGGCAGAACACUCACAGUGCAAACAUUUGUGAGAUCAAUGCCAAGAAUCUAUAACAACACCAGCUGGCAUCCAUCCAUCCACAUACAGCCAGCUGGGUGGGAUUAAGUGGAGACGUGGUAAUGUACUACUCUUACUAAUGUAAGAGUUCAUUAGUGUUAUUCUGAGACUAGAAUUUUUUUCCCAACAACUUUGGUCAUCAUUGGAUGUUGGACAUCAUUUUCUAUCAGCUAUGAAAACUAUAUAAUAUAAUGCUGAGAUGUCAAACAAGUCCGAGGACAAGGAACACCAAUGAGUGUUUCUGAAAUGUCAGUUAGAAUAUCAUCAGUUAGAAUCCCAGUUUUGUCCAAAACUGUGUUCAUUAAAAUCAUAUGUUCAUUUUUCUAUUUAAUGAAUGAAUUCCCAAGUAACUCUCAAGAGGUUCCCUUUUUCAAAAUCUGCACAAACCAUUAAAAGUUUCACUGAAAACUUUUUGAUAUUUAAUGAGAAGGAAUACCAAGUAUGAAUGGUCUACCAUUUGUGAUUUGUAGAGCACUGCACUGUAGCAACUAAUGUACAGGAGAAGCCAAGGUAGGUUUUAUGUAGGCAUGAUAUGAGUCACUAUCUCUGACAAAUAAUGGAUGAUGCUGCUACUGUAGAUCAGAUCUGUGCAAAGUGCAGAUAAUUGGUUUUCUGUUACAAAAAAGUCACAUGGAACUCGAAGUAGCCUGUUAUUAGAGUUAUCAGACACAUUUUAUGAUUAUGUCAGUCAGUCAGCUGGCUUCACUGUUCACGUAUGUUUACUAUAUUUCUGUUUAUUCAAGUCAAAGUGACAAAGUAUACAGUUGUGUGCAAAUUUCGAUAAUGCAACGUCAUGGUGAUUUACUCAUGCACAAAUAGUACAAAUUUGUAUCAACAGUAUUAUUAAUAGGCUGAUAUUUCUACCAAAAUAGGGUCUAUAUCAUGAUUUAUUGGGAGAAACCAAGCAAUUCUAUGUAAAAUUGAUUCAUAGUCACAGUUUUUCCACCACUGCGACGAAUCUGGCUCCUUAGAUCGAAAAGUCGAAUGGUCAACUAUUUAGGGUCACCUCUACUAAUAGUUAUUCCAAUAAUGUAUCCUAAUGCUGACAGUGCUCUACUGCGGCAAUUAGUGCACAAAAUGAUUGCAUUUAACUGUUUUUACUAAGAAAACUGAUACGAAACAAGCAUGAAUGUGAACUUUGGAAACCUACAAACAAAUUUCACAUUUGAAAGCUUCAUAAACAACAGGCAGAAAAUGUCCCGAUGUUGAGCCACGAUCCUCAAACUUGUCCCUUUUUUGGAGGAGCAUGUUCAUUUUGGUGUGCAAGCAUUGCAGGAAAAUAAGUGAGCAACAAUUUCACAAACAAAAACAGCAAUUUUAGUAUGAAUUCUGACAAUUUUUAAGGGAUUUUUCCCACUGUGAUAGUUUGAAUUGGUCUGUAGUUUGGCAGAGGGUUGACUUUGCACAAGUACACAGAUGGAGGGCAGACGAAAUGAGAAUUGGCCAGGACAGCAGGUCGGUCAAACCAGCAGCAUCCAGAACUUUCUGCAGGGGUCAGCAGCUGUACACUUGACGUGCAUACGCACACACAUGCUGGCAGUGGCAGGGCUGCCUGAGCUCAGGGCUGCAGGAAUCAGUGAUGUGUUGUGGCCUGCUGAGCCGCCCGGAGGAUCCUGAUGCAAAGAGACGCCGCCUGCUGCUGUACACGAAGGGGUGUGACGUUAUCAAUGACCGCUGCAGGAGGGGAAGAAAGUGCAGAGUUUGUUUUCUCCUACACAAGUUGGGUCGUGAAGUGAAUUUUGCCAAGAAAUCACUGAGUCACUGUUGUUGCUCAACAACCUCAACAACCUCAACAACCACUGCAGAUGUACUGGGAGCAGCAGGCUGCACAAAUCAACUCGUUGCUCCGUUCAUGGUGAUUAUGAAACGUAUACAACAUACAGUAUGCCUGUCCAAUAAAAAUUACAUAUAAACAUAAACAUGGACGGCAACAUAAGCACACUGCAAACACAUAAAUGAACACACGUUGACAAAUGCAAUAAAAAGAACAAAUUCAUAUGUAUACUUUAAAAAAACACAGCCGUGUUCAGACAUAGAGCAUCCCAUUAGUGACACACAUGCACACCACAAAUGGGCUCCUUCUCUGCUUCUGCAGCGACUGUGCCGUGAGGAAAUGACUCAUCUGUUUGCCCUGAAUAUUUGCACCUACAUUACGCAACAUCGCUGCAGCGACCAAUGUCCGUUUAUGACGAUUUAACAUCAAAACAACAACCGUUUAGUUUGGGUCAGGAGAGUUGAACAAAUAAAGUACAGAGAAGUUCAUUAUAACUUCAGGGCCAAAUGGAAAUAUAAAUAUAUAAAUAUAUACACAACGUAGUUAAUCAGCUCAGCCGCUGAAGUGUGAAAGUUACUAAAAGGCUCCUGUUCCCAGCAGGAUUCUCCUCGUAGAGCUACAGGGAGUUGGGAAGUUGGAUUUUUAGCAACAAAAACAUUUUUUAAAGGCAGAGCGGCUCAACGUUCCUCGACACAGAAACACGGGAGCCUCUUAUGAUACUAUGGGGUGUAUGGCAAAUUUAAAUACUACAGUACCCAUAAGCUUUAGCUGCUACUGCUAUGGAGAAGAAGGUAGUCAGAGACACGAAUCAGAGCAAAUUCAGAAAGCUUGGUUGUUGCAAUGUAGAACAAAAUGUUGCACCAAAAUAUUAAAUUAAUCUAAAACUGAUUCAGAAUCUCAAAGUAAACUGAUUCAAAUAUUACUACAAAAUAUAAUAUGAGUCAUGAAAUAUAUUCUAACAUUUUACAGGAAGAAAAAAGAGAGCUCAGAGAUAUCUGAACAAUUAACACACACAAUGACUCUAGUUGGCAAGAACAAAAGCCAUGCAAGACUGAAAUCCUAAAGACUGAUUACAAUGUUUGUCCAAUUUGGAACAAAAUGAUGCACCAGAAAUGAUGAAUUCUCCAAAAAGUGACCCAUAAUCUGAUAAUGAUUAGGUUUAGCUUGCUCUUAGCAGUGCAUACAAUAUAACAAAGCAAUUGCAAUAUCAGUCAAAAUAAUCUCAAUUAGAUAUUUUUUCAAAACAGUUUUUGUCAAUAUAUUUUCUGCGGUAUUACGCUUGUUUUUUGACGAAUCACAAGUAUGUCUCUAAUCAAAGUCCCCGGAAGUCCGCGUGGAAGUGGAUGGAUGGGUCACACAAACACUGGACUUUUCACCCGGGAGACUGCUGUUUGUGUGCCGUGUGAAAUCAAAAAUAACCACUAAUUUUCCACUUGGCUCCCUGACGCAACACGCUGCGCUGCUCUGCCCAGAGAGAACAACGUGUAAUUAUUUGGCGAGGGUAAAGAGCAACAGAUGACCUUCACCGCACCUUCUUGACCGGCAUCCAAUAUGGCCGCCCUCUUCAAUAUGUCACCUUGGCAUAAAACGAGCGUCCUCUCCUCCGCUUGAGCUACGUCGUCAUCAACAAACACUUUAAAAAAUUAGUAGUGAUUCCCCUUAAAUUGCACUGUCAACCCACACACAUAUACAGACAUAGACGCACACAGAGACGCACCCUCUCCGUGAAAAACAAACAAAAAGAGUCAUCAGUUAUGUCUGCUGCAGGCUGAGCUGCUGUAGGUCCAUUAAACUGUGGCUCCAUUCGGUCUGCUGGAUCAUUAAUCAGAACAGUCUGCUGCCUCUGCAGGUGUGUGUAUCGUCACCCUACACACUCGUGUUCAUCCAGAGGUGUCGGCGGUGCUGCUGUGGGUCAGAAGGAUGGAGAGGGUCUGGAGGAUUCAGAGCAGUGACUUUGUAUGAAAUAUGGCACAAGGUCAAGCUGAAAGCCGUGUGGAUCAAAGACGUGCAGCAGCCCACUGAGAUUUCACUCAAGGUCACAGCGAGGCGGCUGCUUCCAUCCUCGCUGUUACUGAAAGCUCUGGAGGAUUCCUAACCUGAAAGCAGAGCGGUUACGGUGUUGCUUUUUCCAACAUCAUCUGUAUUGAGGAAAUUGUCCUUCGCAUUUGAUUGGAUCAUUCAAACGUGGGCAAUAUAUAGCAAACACUGGAGGACAGAAUAAAUUAGUUUGACCUCAGCUACAUUCUUUACAAAUGUAAACAAAGGUUUAGCCAGUUGACAUCCAAACAAACACGUCCUUGAUGAAACACAGCCUCACAGUGAGGUGCUGUUUUAUACACUGGGUUACACUGUGUUAGCCUGUACUCCAAAUCACAUUUGAUUGGAUAAAUGUAUGCAAAUGCCCACGAGUUGAGAUGAGUCAAGAACAGAGAAUUGAGUGGAGUGCAAACCAGCAGGGAGCGCGAGUGGAAGGAUAUGUGAUGGAGCGCAGGGCGUAUUUUUUAAAUUUUUUUUUAAGUUGGAGCGUCGCCUUAUUUCUCGCUCCAAUUUUCUCUGGUACCGCUAAUGCCAUGAGUUCAAAGCAGCAUACGUAGGAUUUUUUCAGACUUGUGUAACUCCAGGGCAUUGUAAAGUCCAAAAGUCAACAGUUACUGAAAAAAAGACUUAAUAUUCUGCUUCAAUCCAUAUUUGUUGGCGUUUAGCCUUUCAAAAACAACAUUUUCACUGCAGUCAAAAAACAGUUUGCUCUCCUACUUGCUGCACACAAUGGAUGAACCUGUAUUAACGGGGGAUUCUAGCAGCAAUGAAAUUAAACUGACAUGUUAUAUUCAUUAAAGAAAGUCGAUUUAAAACUGACUCAUUUAAUCCGAUGAAUCACUUUAUUCAAAUGUUUUUUAGGGAAUAUGACAGAUAUUCGAAGCUUCAUCUGAAAACCUCAAUAGAAGCUUAGAAAAAGAUAUUCGGUAGCCUAUACAGCCUUAAUUAAAACACAGCUUGUUCCUUUUGUUGGAGCAAGCGGUGAGCAAUUUCAACGAACAGCUCCGUGAAUGAGGGGCGGAAAUUCUCAACGCUCAACUCCGCCCACAUGCUCUGCUCAUGAAAUAUAUUGUAACUUUUAACAGGAACACAUGACACAAGAUUAGAAAAUGUAUUUUUUUUCU